rnacentral:rRNA from 1 species
GACGAACGCUGGCGGCGUGGAUUAGGCAUGCAAGUCGAACGGUAUCAUCCUUUCGGGGGUGAGAGAGUGGCGAACUGGUGAGUAACACGUAGGUUAUCUACCCUCAAGACGGGGACAACCCAGGGAAACUUGGGCUAAUACCGGAUGUGAGCAACUUUUAGUUGUUUGAAAGGUGGCGUAAGCUGUCGCUUGGGGAUGAGCCUGCGUCCUAUUAGUUAGUUGGUGAGGUAACGGCUCACCUAGGCAAUGAUAGGUAGGCGGCCUUAACGGGUGGUCGCCCACACUGGGAUUGAGAUACGGCCCAGACUCCUACGGGAGGCAGCAGUCGAGAAUAGUCUACAAUGGUCGGAAGACUGAUAGUGCGACGCCGCGUGAACGAUGAAUCCCUUCGGGGUGUAAAGUUCUUUUAUAUGUGAGCAGUGCUUCUUAUAUUAACAGUAUGGGGAAGAGAUAUUAGCAUAUGAAUAAGCAACGGCUAACUCCGUGCCAGCAGCCGCGGUAAUCA